rnacentral:rRNA from 1 species
AGAGUUUGAUCCUGGCUCAGAUUGAACGCUGGCGGCAUGCUUUACACAUGCAAGUCGAACGGUAGAGGCUUCGGCCUUGAGAGUGGCGAACGGGUGAGUAAUGCAUCGGAACAUACCCAGUCGUGGGGGAUAACGUAGCGAAAGUUACGCUAAUACCGCAUACGUCCUGAGGGAGAAAGCGGGGGAUCUUCGGACCUCGCGCGAUUGGAGUGGCCGAUGUCAGAUUAGCUAGUUGGUGGGGUAAAGGCCCACCAAGGCGACGAUCUGUAGCGGGUCUGAGAGGAUGAUCCGCCACACUGGGACUGAGACACGGCCCAGACUCCUACGGGAGGCAGCAGUGGGGAAUUUUGAACAAUGGGCGCAAGCCUGAUCCAGCCAUGCCGCGUGCAGGAAGAAGGCCUUCGGGUUGUAAACUGCUUUCGGACGGAAAGAAAUCGCCGCUUCUAAUACGAGCGGUGGA